rnacentral:lncRNA from 1 species
GUGACAGGCCACAGGUUUUCUCCCCUGAGGAAAUUGGAGAGCCCUACAGCACUGAAAGGGAGGAACUGGACAGAGUGCCAUGGUUUGAAGGAUAAACAGCAGCUUCUCGUCAGCAGCUCAACCAUCCUUCCGGCUUUAUCAGCCCAAUAAGAAUCAAAGAAAGGGGCUUUGUUACCCAAGUGGAAUAUUACCAAUGGCUCAGUUCCCAAUCUAAAGCUAGAAAGACAUUUAGUGUCUUUUCAAGUUCUUGUCUAAACUCUCUCUUGAGUUUCAAGUCCUAGAGUCUGCUUUCCUCAUUGAAAAAUUUCCUGGUAUGAAGAGAUGGGACAACGAGCUUUAAAUAACGAUCACACACACGUCCUGAGGAGCGAUGCCUCUCCGCUGGAGUCAUCUUCUGCCUCAUCCAAAACACGUGGAAAAAGAAAACACGUACUCUCCGAAGACCUUCCGCUGACCCCCAACAAGAUCCAAAAUGCAGAGCCAGAAGAGAAAGGGGACUGUUGGGACACUGACAUUUGAAUGGAUUUCCCUUUGGGAGAGCUAAAUCGCUGAGGGAGACAGCAGACACAAACACACACAGACACACACAUUACCUACCAAUGACAAAAUCAGGGUCGUUGCUUGUUUCUCCUGGUAUUGUUUCUUAAGCUUUGGUCACACGUGGCUGUCUAAUGGGUCUUCCAGAUGUCUCUUUGUAUUGGGAUUCAACUAUGAUUGUUUUUCAUGUACUAUUAUUGAUCAUUUUGUUCUGGGGAGGAAUGAAUAAUGAUAGCUAUCUUUAAAAGAAAACUCCCAAAGUAGGUAUUGGUUCAUUCAUGUCUCUGCUCAAGCAGCCUCUACUUCACCUUGGAGAUUCUGGAAGGCAGGAGAGAGAGAGAGGUAUACAAAUUUUUAAAAAAUUGGAACCAGAUAAGGUGAGCCCCACACUUCUUACAUGUGGGUGAGAAGGGAGUGGUUGCUGCUUUUAAUGCUGCUAAGCGUCAGCCACUUGUUCUGCAGUGGUGAGCAAGAUGGCAGUGAUCACGGCAAUGGUGGUGGUGAAAGACGCUCAAAAUGAAGAUGAUUAACAGAGUUACUGCUGGUCUAGGAGGAAUAAAGGGGCCCUUGCAUGUCA